AAGCAUUGCGGGUGCUAUACAUGCAGUCGAGCGGACAGAAGGGAGCUUGCUCCCGGAUGUUAGCGGCGGACGGGUGAGUAACACGUGGGUAACCUGCCUGUAAGACUGGGAUAACUCCGGGAAACCGGAGCUAAUACCGGAUAGUUCCUUGAACCGCAUGGUUCAAGGAUGAAAGACGGUUUCGGCUGUCACUUACAGAUGGACCCGCGGCGCAUUAGCUAGUUGGUGAGGUAACGGCUCACCAAGGCGACGAUGCGUAGCCGACCUGAGAGGGUGAUCGGCCACACUGGGACUGAGACACGGCCCAGACUCCUACGGGAGGCAGCAGUAGGGAAUCUUCCGCAAUGGACGAAAGUCUGACGGAGCAACGCCGCGUGAGUGAUGAAGGUUUUCGGAUCGUAAAGCUCUGUUGUUAGGGAAGAACAAGUGCAAGAGUAACUGCUUGCACCUUGACGGUACCUAACCAGAAAGCCACGGCUAACUACGUGCCAGCAGCCGCGGUAAUACGUAGGUGGCAAGCGUUGUCCGGAAUUAUUGGGCGUAAAGGGCUCGCAGGCGGUUUCUUAAGUCUGAUGUGAAAGCCCCCGGCUCAACCGGGGAGGGUCAUUGGAAACUGGGAAACUUGAGUGCAGAAGAGGAGAGUGGAAUUCCACGUGUAGCGGUGAAAUGCGUAGAGAUGUGGAGGAACACCAGUGGCGAAGGCGACUCUCUGGUCUGUAACUGACGCUGAGGAGCGAAAGCGUGGGGAGCGAACAGGAUUAGAUACCCUGGUAGUCCACGCCGUAAACGAUGAGUGCUAAGUGUUAGGGGGUUUCCGCCCCUUAGUGCUGCAGCUAACGCAUUAAGCACUCCGCCUGGGGAGUACGGUCGCAAGACUGAAACUCAAAGGAAUUGACGGGGGCCCGCACAAGCGGUGGAGCAUGUGGUUUAUUUCGAAGCACGCGAGAACCUUACCAGGUCUUGACAUCCUCUGACAACCCUAGAGAUAGGGCUUUCCCUUCGGGGACAGAGUGACAGGUGGUGCAUGGUUGUCGUCAGCUCGUGUCGUGAGAUGUGGGUUAGUCCCGCACGAGCGCACCCUGAUCUAGUUGCCAGCAUUUAGUGGGACUCCUAAGGUGACUGCCGGUGACAACCGAGAGGUGGGGAUGACGUCAUCAUCAUGCCCUUAUGACCUGGGCUACCACUGCCUCCAUUGACAGAAAAAGGCUGCGAGACCUAGGUUAGCCAAAUCCAAAAUCUGUGUCUCUCGAU
rnacentral:rRNA from 1 species